GUGGUUGUUUCAGCAGCACAUGGACUAAAACUGGAAAGACACAGAGAGGGUCAGCCCGGCCCCAGCACAGGGAUGACACACAAGGUAGUGAAGCAUUCCAUAUUUAA
ensembl:snRNA U6 U6 spliceosomal RNA